rnacentral:rRNA from 1 species
AUUGAACGCUGGCGGCAUGCCUUACACAUGCAAGUCGAACGGUAACAGGUCUUCGGAUGCUGACGAGUGGCGAACGGGUGAGUAAUACAUCGGAACGUGCCCGAUCGUGGGGGAUAACGGAGCGAAAGCUUUGCUAAUACCGCAUACGAUCUACGGAUGAAAGCAGGGGACCGCAAGGCCUUGCGCGGACGGAACGGCCGAUGGCAGAUUAGGUAGUUGGUGGGAUAAAAGCUUACCAAGCCGACGAUCUGUAGCUGGUCUGAGAGGACGACCAGCCACACUGGGACUGAGACACGGCCCAGACUCCUACGGGAGGCAGCAGUGGGGAAUUUUGGGCAAUGGGCGCAAGCCUGAUCCAGCCAUGCCGCGUGCAGGAUGAAGGCCUUCGGGUUGUAAACUGCUUUUGUACGGAACGAAAAGACUCUUUCUAAUAAAGAGGGUCCAUGACGGUACCGUAAGAAUAAGCACCGGCUAACUACGUGCCAGCCGCCGCGGUAAUAC